rnacentral:sRNA from 1 species
GGAAGGAUCAUUGAAUUAUUAAAACCACAAUGCGAACCUAUCUGUUCCGUGCCUUUGCUGCCAGCUGGCAAUCAGGUUCAGCUGAUUGUACUUGCAAGCUGGUGCAUAAGGUUUACUUGCCAGCAAGGCAAUCAGGUUCAGCUGAUUGUUGUUGCAAGCUUGUAAAUUUUAUUUGCGUCAGUGGCGCUCUGGCAUGCUUAUACACCAGUCUAACCACUGUCAAAACCAAACUCUGAAGCUUUGAUUGCUAUUAAUUGGCAAUCUUAACCAAAGACAACUCUCAACAACGGAUAUCUUGGCUCUCGCAACGAUGAAGAACGCAGCGAAAUGCGAUACGUGGUGUGAAUUGCAGAAUUCCGUGAACCAUCGAAUCUUUGAACGCAUAUUGCGCUCGAGCCCUCGGGCAAGAGCAUGUCUGCCUCAGCGUCGGUUUAUACCCUCACCCCUCCCUCCUUUGGAGGGCUGGUCAGCUUUCAGUUGACCUCAGGAGUGGAUCUGGCUUUCCCAAUUGGUUUACUCCGAUUGGGUUGGCUGAAGCUUAGAGGCUUAAGCAAGAACCCGAUAUGGGCUUCAACUGGAUAGGUAGCACCGGCUUCUGCCGACUACACGAAGUUGUGGCUUGUGGAUUUUGCUAGAGGCCAAGCAGGAAACAUGCUUUUGCAUGUCUUAAACUUUCGACCUGAGCUCAGGCAAGGCUACCCGCUGAACUUAA